rnacentral:lncRNA from 1 species
AGUCUACCCUUAAAUUCCCUCUUUUCCGAUAAUUGAUCAUUGUUGAGCCUCCUUCCCUUCUUCUUCCCAGUCUCCGGUGGCCGUCGUGCCACCUCGGUCGACCGCUGCCACCCCCAAAAACCCUUCUUUUCCAUCUACAGCCUCGGAUGCUCUAUUUUGCCUCGUUCCGAGCCUUAUCGUUGCAAAGCUCACUGGAAACCACCAUAUUCGGCCGAGGGCUGCCGCCGCCGCCGCCGCCGCUCGUCGGUGAGUCCCUCGCCUCCUCUUGCUUCCUCCUUGGCUGAGGGAGCUGCCACAUAAGGCAGCUUGGGGCUCUGCCCCUUUUUCUCUUCCUCCUCUUUUUCCUCUUAUGCACGGUUGAACCAUCAUGGCACCUCGCCGUUGGCUAUGCCGUUGCACUGCAGGUUGCGCCACCGUGCCUCAAGCCGCGCCACCGCACCUCAGGCCGCGCCACCACCGGGCCAUCAACCACUUUCCCUCCUCUCUCUUUUCCCAGUUCAUCCCCAUUUUUGGCCGAGGGGGAACAAAAAAAAUAAUUUUCUUUCCUAGUUGUUAGUUUGUCUUUUUUUUGGCCCAUGGGCUAGAUAUAGUGAUGAUUUAUGCUGCUUAACAGGCCAAACCCAGACUCUAUGAUUGAAUCCAAACUAAAAUUCUCUCUCUUCUUUUUUUCUCUCUCUCUAGCCAGUUCAGGGAUCCUAGUGUAAGCCUUGCUUUUCUUGCUGCUCGGAUCCAAGUUAACCCUAAUUUAGAGGCUCUGAACCGUCUCGAUAUUCAGGCGGUAGACCGGCCCAAAAUCUGUGCCCUAGCCAAAUCUUUUUAAAAUUUGGCUACUAUUGGUCUUUAUUGAGUUAUCUAAAUCAUGUAUAAAUAUCACAAGUUGAGUUCACCUUGCUCGGACCAACCCAGGCAGUUGGGCACUCCCACUUGACCAAUCUGAUUUAGGGGCAUGAGGUCGUAUCCCUAAUAAUAUUUUAAUUUGUAACUUUACUUGGCUGCUAAAAUAAGGAUAAAAUUAAUGAUAUUUUAAUGAUAUUAAAAUAUGUGAACCUAAAUUACCUUUUUGAAGUAGGAUUUUGAAGCAAGAAGAGGUAAGUAACCUAAUACUUCAAAGUAAAUUUUUUGAUCUUUAGUAAAGUGAUACUUAGUUUAUUAUGUUUAAUUAUAAUAUUUGUUUUAUAAUUGAUUAAAUAGGUCGGGCAUGUUACUGUUAUAAUGUUAUAAUUGUUUACAAAAAAAAAUGUUGUGUGUUAUGUUAUAAAAUUUGAAAAAUAUGACUGAAUAAAUUAUGAAAUUUGUUUCAUAUGUAUGUAUUCUCAGUAGGAUUAUGAUCUGGCCCCGCUAAUGAAAAUUAUUCGUUGGCCUGUCGACUUAUAAUAUGAGAAAUUGGUUUUGACACUGAGCCACCGGUGAUUAGAAUAGCUGUAUUUAACACUUUGUGCAUCUUAUAUCUAACCUAUGCUACUGGGUAACGUGCCAUAGCCUAAUAUUGGGUCUCUAGUAUUAGUUUAUAAUAAUAAUAAUAAUAAAUUUCAAAAGAUAUAUAUAUUAUUAAAAAAUUAAUUUAUCCCUAGUCAGUAUCAUGCAUGCUCUUUAAUUAUUUAUUUAUUUAGCAUGCUUAGACCCCACUUUAUAGUGUUACAUUGCUUACUAGGCUAAUAUAGCUCAUUAUUCUUUCCUUCUCUAUUUUUCAGAUCCUGGAUCAUGAUUGCUCGAGACAUAGAGAAGUGCACUAGAUCUUUUGAAGAUAUUCGUAAUUAUUGGAGUUCUAGUUUAGAUUAAUUCAGUUAGAACAUUUUAUUUUAUUUGAAUUAGUUAAAUAUUCUAACUUAUGUCACUUUGCAACAAUUGAUUAUGAGAAUGAUUUGUUUUAGAUUAUGAUUAAAUAAAUUUUCAAGAUUCGAAGGAUUAUUAUUGCUUU